AAACCAAAAAAAAUCGCCGCUGCCCUAUUACUAUUAGAUGCAAGCUGCUGUCCGCUGCUGAAAUCGGCAGCUUGCUGAUUUUUUUAUGCUUACCAAUCAACCAGAGUUGAUUGGAAUGCUUGAUUCGAUCUCUCUUUUUUAUUCGAUCCACAAAUAAUGGCCUCUGUCAUGAAAGUGUUUGAACAUCUUAAAAUUCAUUUGGAAGAGUUAAAAAAGCCACCUAAGAGUUUUGGUAGCAAAGUUACAAGAGCUUGUGGAUUUGGAAAUGUGUAUGAAAGAUGCCCCGCUCACUCUAAGGGCCGAAACAGGCUUGCUAUUUGAGCAAUGAGACGUUGAGUUUUGGAAGGAGAUCAUGAUGCUUUCCCGUUACACCCCUUAGAAUCUCACACCCUCAUCACUCUUCUCGGAUUUUGUGACGAGGAUGGUCAGAAGAUCCUUGUGUAUGAGUAUGCAUCUAAUGAAAUCCGGAAUAGCCUUUUAAACUACAGUAUUUUAACAUGGACAAAACGCCUCAAGAUAUAUGUAUCAAGUGGGCUAGUCCACAACGUCUCAAGAUAUGUAUCAAGUGGGCUAGUCUACCUUCAUAUGAUAUAAAAAGCGAGAUAUAUACAUUAGUUAAAAAUGUGAUGUUUUGUAUCAAAUGAGUUUUAAGUAAUCUUCAUAGUAUACAUAAAAUAAAUUCUAACUAUUUUAGACUAAUGAUUAACUUGUGUAGAUUGAUGUUUUCAACAAUUUGAGAAGGUAGGGUUAGCUUGUUUGUAUUGUGUAUCAUUUGGUAUUGGAAAUUGGCUAUAAAAUUAUAUGGACCAGGCUUGCUAUUGUAACUUAUAGGUUCGAUUAUUGAAAAUGGUUAUUCAAUAACGGAAUUGAAAUUUUCGGCUAUUAAA